UUUCGUGCCAGCCACCGCGGUGAUACGAUUAACCCAAGUUAACAGAAGAACGGCGUAAGGUGUGUUUAAGCAUUUGAGUGUUAAAAUAAGGUUAAAAAUCAAUUGAGCUGUAAUACGCCAAGGUUGAUAUUAAAAUACGCAACUUACGUGACUUUACCUGCUGCUGAAGACACUAAAGCUAAGGUACAAACUGGGAUUAGAUACCCCACUAUGCUUAGCCGUAAACCGAGGUAGUUGAAUGACAAAACUAUUCGCCAGAGAACUACAAGCUACUGCUUAAAACUCAAAGGACUUGGCGGUGCCCUAGACCCUCCUAGAGGAGCCUGUUCUAUAAUCGAUAAACCCCGAUAUACCUCACCUUUUCUAGCUGUCAGUCUAUAUACCGCCAUCGUCAGCUCACCCCAACAGGGCAUCAAAGUGAGCAAAAUCAUCAAACCAUAAAAACGUUAGGUCAAGGUGUAGCAUAUGGAAAGGGAAGUAAUGGGCUACAUUUUCUAUAUUAGAACAUUACGGAUUGUCUAUUGAAAUAAAGACAUGAAGGAGGAUUUAGUAGUAAAUUAAGAAUAGAGAGCUUAAUUGAAAUAGGCAAUGGGGUGCGUACACACCGCCCGUCACCCUCCUCGAUAAAGUAAUACCCUAUAAAUAAUAAGAAUACGUAAAAAAGAGGAGAAAAGUCGUAACAUGGUAAGUGUACUGGAAAGUGUACUUGGAUAAUC
rnacentral:rRNA from 1 species